UCCCCACGGUGGGGAACAGCGUGGUGGGAAAGCGGAACGUUUACGAGACGAUAGAUUUAAGAAUGGCGCAGAGGUGCCGUUUCAAAACACAGAAUCAUUACCAAGGGAAUAAAACCACGUAUCAAAGGAAUAGAAAAUGGCAAAAGAGAGAAGACACGCGUGAAAUAAAAGAUGCACACACAAAAAUCGAAAAUGUUUGGAGAGUUUUGAGUAAAAUUAAGUCGGUAUUUGCCUUUUAAAAAAAUUGAAGGGGGAAAAUUAUUGUAGAAUGAAGAGCAGGCUUGUGUUGAUAUAGGUAAUAUUUUGUAGCUUCAGUUACAUGCCCUCUUAACAUUAAAAAAAGUCAGUAAUUUCAUUUAACUGAGCAAUCAACAAGAAUUAGAGACUUGGAAAUGACAAACAAAUGAAAGAAGGAAAGCAUCCAGAAAAGAAGAUAAGUUUAAUGGACAUGAUUUAUUGUAGGAGACAUGACCUCAUUCCUCAUUAGAGGGAUGGAGGGAUUUCCACUAAACCAGAUUUGAUGUUAAAUAAAUUUAUUAUACAGAUGAUACUAAUUUGAUUUGUCCCUCUCUUUUUUUGGUAUUAUAAAGCGAAGAGAAACAAGGAAAUUGUUAAAAAUAUUGUAGCAGCUUCCUCAGAUGACAACUGUUCCCAGGCUCCUCACUCUCACCCAUCAUAAAAAAGCAGCAAUCAGCGUAAAGAAUAGCUCUCUCCAGAAGCGAAACAGAAAGUCAAGCAUCCCUAUCACCUGUUUUUUUAAAGAAGCACCUGGCUUUUCCACCAUCUUGGACCCUGUGGAGGCCUGCUGGGAACGGGUCUCCGGAACCAGAGGAAGCACACAGCUCUUCUUAAAAUUGAAGGUGUUUACGCUCGAGAUGAAACAGAAUUCUGUCUAGGCAAGAGAUGUGCUUAUGUGUACAAAGCAAAGAACACCACAGUGACUCCUGGUGGCAAACCGAACAAAACCAGAGUCAUCUGGGAAAGGAAACUCAUGCUCAUGGAAACAGUGGCAUGGUUCGUGCUAAAUUCCGAAGCAACCUUCCUGCUAAGGCUAGGGGACACAGAAUCCGUGUAAUGUUGUACCCCUCAAGGGUUUAAACUUAACGGAAAAUAAAUAAAAUGGAUUUGUUAGAUAAAUAAAUAAGAAGCAUCUCUCAAAUUUGCAUCUACUGUUCUUUUUUAAACAUGGUAUGUACAUGGACAGAAGCACAAGGCUAAGUCCUC